GACGAACGCUGGCGGCGUGCCUAACACAUGCAAGUCGAACGGAGAUAUGAUUUCGGUUGUAUCUUAGUGGCGAACGGUGAGUAACGCGUGAACAACCUGACUCUAAGAGGGGGAUAACACUCGGAAACGGGUGCUAAUACCGCAUAAGACCACGACCUGGCAUCAGGAUGAGGUCAAAGGAGCAAUCCGCUGAGAGAGGGGUUCGCGUCCCAUUAGAUAGAUGGCGGGGUAACGGCCCACCAUGUCAACGAUGGGUAGCCGAGCUGAGAGGCUGAUCGGCCACACUGGAACUGAGACACGGUCCAGACUCCUACGGGAGGCAGCAGUGGGGAAUAUUGGGCAAUGGGCGCAAGCCUGACCCAGCAACGCCGCGUGAGGGAAGAAGGCUUUCGGGUUGUAAACCUCUGUCCUUGGUGACGAAACAAAUGACGGUAGCCAAGGAGAAAGCCCCGGCUAACUACGUGCCAGCAGCCGCGGUAAU
rnacentral:rRNA from 1 species